UACGAAGGGGGGCUAGCGUUGCUCGGAAUCACUGGGCGUAAAGCGCACGUAGGCGGAUUGCUAAGUCAGGGGUGAACAUCCUGGAGCUCAACUCCAGAACUGCCUUUGAUACUGGCGAUCUUGAGUCCGGGAGAGGUGAGUGGAACUCCGAGUGUAGAGGUGAAAUUCGUAGAUAUUCGGAAGAACACCAGUGGCGAAGGCGGCUCACUGGCCCGGUACUGACGCUGAGGUGCGAAAGCGUGGGGAGCAAACAGG
rnacentral:rRNA from 1 species